rnacentral:rRNA from 1 species
CCCCGCAAGUUUACAAAAACAUCUCCCUAUCCUCAAGGGUAAACCCUGCCACCAUCGGAAGUAGCAAAAUUAAUAGCCGCUUAAUUAGCGGAUCGUCUGAAAGGGCAAACGAGGG